AUUGAACGCUGGCGGCAGGCCUAACACAUGCAAGUCGAACGGUAACAGGAAGCAGCUUGCUGCUUCGCUGACGAGUGGCGGACGGGUGAGUAAUGUCUGGGAAGCUGCCUGAUGGAGGGGGAUAACUACUGGAAACGGUAGCUAAUACCGCAUAAUGUCGCAAGACCAAAGAGGGGGACCUUCGGGCCUCUUGCCAUCGGAUGUGCCCAGAUGGGAUUAGCUUGUUGGUGGGGUAACGGCUCACCAAGGCGACGAUCCCUAGCUGGUCUGAGAGGAUGACCAGCCACACUGGAACUGAGACACGGUCCAGACUCCUACGGGAGGCAGCAGUGGGGAAUAUUGCACAAUGGGCGCAAGCCUGAUGCAGCCAUGCCGCGUGUAUGAAGAAGGCCUUCGGGUUGUAAAGUACUUUCAGCGGGGAGGAAGGGAGUAAAGUUAAUACCUUUGCUCAUUGACGUUACCCGCAGAAGAAGCACCGGCUAACUCCGUGCCAGCAGCCGCGGUAAUACGGAGGGUGCAAGCGUUAAUCGGAAUUACUGGGCGUAAAGCGCACGCAGGCGGUUUGUUAAGUCAGAUGUGAAAUCCCCGGGCUCAACCUGGGAACUGCAUCUGAUACUGGCAAGCUUGAGUCUCGUAGAGGGGGGUAGAAUUCCAGGUGUAGCGGUGAAAUGCGUAGAGAUCUGGAGGAAUACCGGUGGCGAAGGCGGCCCCCUGGACGAAGACUGACGCUCAGGUGCGAAAGCGUGGGGAGCAAACAGGG
rnacentral:rRNA from 1 species